rnacentral:misc_RNA from 1 species
AACGCACAUUGCGCCCAUUGGUAUUCCUUUGGGCAUGUCUGUUUGAGCGUCAUUACAACCCCUCAGCUAACGCUGGUUUUGAACCGGGACAGGUUAACACCUGCACCGGUUUUAAAGUUGUAAGCUCUGCUGGCUGCUCUGCCCCAACCGGAACAUAGUAAAAACACUACUUGUUAAGGCGAGGCGAAGCGGUACGGCCUGAACAAAACCUACCCAUUUUCUAAGGUUUGACCUCAGAUCAGACAAGGAUACCCGCUGAACUUAA